UAGAUACCCGCCUAUUCAUGACGUAAAUAAUAGUUGAGUAUUACGAACAACAGUUUAAAACUCAAAGAUUUUGGCGGUGUCUUAUAAAACCAGGGGAACCUGUCUCAUAACUCGAUAAUCCACGAAUACUCAACCUUUUCUUGAUACCAGCAUGUGUACUGCCGUUGUAAGCACACCUCUAAAAGAAUAAGUAUGCUACUAUGAGCUCAUAUACAUCAGGUCAAAGUGCAGCCAAUAAAAAGGUGACGAUGGGUUACAACCCCAAAAUAGACUAUCAACCAAGAAAUAAAAAAUCUUACGAAAGUGGACUUGGCCGUAAUAAAUUUACAAGUUAAAAAAAUGAAUAAAAAUCUAAGACAUGCACACAUCGCCCGUCACUCUACCCUAAAGGCUAGAUAAGUCGU
rnacentral:rRNA from 1 species